rfam:Procavia capensis cont1.105895, whole genome shotgun sequence.
UAAGCAGAAUUUACAAACUACAGUUUGCUCCUGGUAGUAUACCUUUCACAAAAUAUCUUCAUCAAGCAGUAAGAC